rnacentral:rRNA from 1 species
GGGGAAUAUUGCGCAAUGGGCGAAAGCCUGACGCAGCCAUGCCGCGUGUGUGAAGAAGGCCUUCGGGUUGUAAAGCACUUUCAGAGGGGAGGAAACGGUACGGGCUAAUACUCCGUGCACUUGACGCUACCCUCAGAAGAAGCACCGGCUAAUUCCGUUCCAGCAGCCGCGGUAAUACGGAAGGUGCAAGCGUUAAUCGGAAUUACUGGGCGUAAAGCGCGCGUAGGCGGCUUCGUAAGUCGGGUGUGAAAGCCCCGGGCUCAACCUGGGAACUGCGCUCGAUACUGCGGAGCUCGAGUACGAGAGAGGGGGGUGGAAUUCCAGGUGUAGCGGUGAAAUGCGUAGAGAUCUGGAGGAACACCGGUGGCGAAGGCGGCCCCCUGGUUCGAUACUGACGCUGAGGUGCGAAAGCGUGGGGAGCAAA